rnacentral:rRNA from 1 species
CCUACGGGAGGCAGCAGUGGGGAAUCUUGCGCAAUGGGCGAAAGCCUGACGCAGCAACGCCGCGUGGGGGACGAAGGCUCUCGGGUUGUAAACCCCUUUCAGUAGGAACGAUUGUGACGGUACCUACAGAAGAAGCACCGGCUAACUACGUGCCAGCAGCCGCGGUAAUACGUAGGGUGCGAGCGUUGUCCGGAUUUAUUGGGCGUAAAGAGCUCGUAGGCGGUUCAGUAAGUCGGUUGUGAAAACUCUAGGCUCAACCUGGAGACUGCAUUCGAUACUGCUGUGACUAGAGUCUGGUAGGGGAUCACGGAAUUCCUGGUGUAGCGGUGAAAUGCGCAGAUAUCAGGAGGAACACCGGUGGCGAAGGCGGUGAUCUGGGCCAGUACUGACGCUGAGGAGCGAAAGCGUGGGGAGCAAACAGGAUUAGAUACCCUGGUAGUCCACGCCGUAAACGUUGGGCACUAGGUGUGGGUCCUUAAUCAACGGGGUAUCCGGUGCCGCGACGCGUACGCGAGUAAGUCGCCCGCCGUCGGGAGGUACGGUCGCGAACGAACGUAAAACCGUUAAACGGUAAAGUUAGUACGGCGUGAGACGUGGCGACGGACGACGACGAGGGAGGUAGG